rnacentral:rRNA from 1 species
AGAGCGAACGCUGGCGGCAGGCUUAACACAUGCAAGUCGAGCGGAUGUAGCAAUACAUCAGCGGCAGACGGGUGAGUAACACGUGGGAACGUACCUUUUGGUUCGGAACAACACAGGGAAACUUGUGCUAAUACCGGAUAAGCCCUUACGGGGAAAGAUUUAUCGCCGAAAGAUCGGCCCGCGUCUGAUUAGCUAGUUGGUGAGGUAAUGGCUCACCAAGGCGACGAUCAGUAGCUGGUCUGAGAGGAUGAUCAGCCACAUUGGGACUGAGACACGGCCCAAACUCCUACGGGAGGCAGCAGUGGGGAAUAUUGGACAAUGGGCGCAAGCCUGAUCCAGCCAUGCCGCGUGAGUGAUGAAGGCCCUAGGGUUGUAAAGCUCUUUUGUGCGGGAAGAUAAUGACGGUACCGAGAUAAGAAGCCCCGGCUAACUUCGUGCCAGCAGCCGC